GAUGAGAACGCAGCGAAAUGCGAUAAGUAAUGUGAAUUGCAGAAUUCAGUGAAUCAUCGAAUCUUUGAACGCACAUUGCGCCCCCUGGUAUUCCGGGGGGCAUGCCUGUUCGAGCGUCAUUUCACCACUCAAGCCUCGCUUGGUAUUGGGCAACGCGGUCCGCCGCGUGCCUCAAAUCGACCGGCUGGGUCUUCUGUCCCCUAAGCGUUGUGGAAACUAUUCGCUAAAGGGUGUUCGGGAGGCUACGCCGUAAAACAACCCCAUUUCUAAGGUUGACCUCGGAUCAGGUAGGGAUACCCGCUGAACUUAAGCAUAUCAAUAAGCGGAGGA
rnacentral:misc_RNA from 1 species